AAUCUCAUUCUCCUUAAUAAAGUAAUAAAUUUAAGAAUGCAAGGCGUAGGUUACGCCCUCUACCGCCCUCUGUCGGAAAUCGGCAGGAAGUCAUCGACCGUGAGUUGUCUGAUCCUGGAUCGGCCUUCCCCGCCAUCUAGCGUGGGAUAGCUGCACUCUUGUAUUCCUUCAUGGACUUACGUGGAUCAUAGUUGCCAUUUUUAAAAAUAGAAGUAAAUCGUCAUCGGGCGUUUGCCUUCCUUCCUUUUAUUCGUAACCAGACUUAAUUAUGUUUUUUUUAAGCUCCGCGUUAAUCGCGAAGAGUUUAGUAUUAUAUUUUUUUUUGUUGACUUAAUUUCGAUUGAACGUCCGGAGCCGGCUGUUCACGGCGCGGGCCGAUUUCGGCUAGCAACACUUGGCUGUCAAAAAUGGCGAUGAUGAGACGAGUUUUCGGUGCCGCAGAAGAAUUGUGAGGGAUCUUUGGUCCUAGUCAAAAUCGGGCGCAAUCGCCCGUUCGACCCCGGAAUCGGACGUUGAUCGAAUUAUGUUCCCUUGAUAUGAGGCGGCGCCAAGCGUGCCCGGGUGUCGAAAUGGGUGCAAUUUUGCCCUCUGCUGGCCCUUUAUCCAUCAACGGGUUCACGCCGCGUCGCCUAAACCUCGCGCCGGCCGCGAGAGCUUCCCCUGGUGUCCCGGUAACUUUCGGGCGGCAGAUUGCUGCCGUGGCAGUUGUGGUGUUUCGAGGUCAGAUCUUUCCACGUUUACUUAUUGACUGAAUGAACCGGCCUUCGGUUCUGGCGCCCUUCCGUGUAACUGCCCUUAAUAUAUAUUGACCGCUGUAUCCGUUUCUACCAGUAAUAAUAAUUUAGAGCUCGCUGACCCACAUUUGUUCCCUUAAAAGUAUAAACCCAACAUUAUUGUUCUCGUGAGCUAGCCCUCGGCCAACAAUUGUUAACGGUACCUAAGAUAACAAACUAGCAUAACCAAUUUAGAUUUUUCUUAAUACAAAUAAAUACCUGGUACCCCUUCAAUGGUUGUUUGAUUUUUUAUUUUUUAUUGUGUCGUCAGCUAAAGGAAACCCCCCAUAAAAUUAAAUAUUGUAACAAUUUAAUUACAUGCAUAGGCAAGCAAAGUACGA